CAAUAGCGUAUAUUAAAGUUGUUGCAGUUAAAAAGCUCGUAGUUGGAUUUGUGGUGUAUGGUGUGUUCCGGGCACUUGUUGUCUGAGUAACUUGCCAUUGCCAUCCUUGGGUGGAACCUGUGUGGCAUUAGGUUGUCGUGCAGGGGAUGCCCAUCGCUUACUGUGAAAAAAUUAGAGUGUUCAAAGCAGGCUUAUGCCGUUGAAUAUAUUAGCAUGGAAUAAUAAGAUAGGACUUUUUUGCUAUUUUGUUGGUUUGCGCGAGAAGGUAAUGAUUAAUAGGGAUAGUUGGGGGUAUUCGUAUUCCAUUGUCAGAGGUGAAAUUCUUGGAUUUUUGGAAGACGAACUACUGCGAAAGCAUUUACCAAGGAUGUUUUCAUUAA
rnacentral:rRNA from 1 species